ACUUGAUGAACAAGGAACUGAAACCAAUCAAUUGUUUGUUUGACAACCUGCAUUACAAAACUCACCCUUUCUCCCCAUUUCCCACCAAACCCUUUACCUUUCUCACGGAUUCUCCCCCAAAUCGGUUCAUUCUCAUCAAUUUCACCAAAUUCUCCUCUAAAUCGAUAAAUCCGCCCACCCACCACGUCUUCGAUCAAGAACAAGACCAAGUCACUUCGAGUUGAAAAGAAGCCACAGAUCAAGAGGACGAACACGAAGACAGUGGCAGUGAUGAUAACAUGAUGUAGUUUUACAUGUUUUAUGCAAUGUUAUGAUGUUAAUAUGUGAAUUAAAUGAAUAACUUUUAAGUAGUUUUAGGAUGUUUAUAUAAUUAUUAUGUUUAUGUA